rnacentral:rRNA from 1 species
GAGUUUGAUUAUGGCUCAGGAUGAACGCUGGCGGCGUGCUUAACACAUGCAAGUCGAGCGGGAAAUUUUGAAAUGAAGCUUCGGUAGAUUUUCAAAAUGGAGAGCGGCGGAUGGGUGAGUAACGCGUAGGCAACCUGCCCCAUACAGAGGAAUAGCCAAGGGAAACUUUGACUAAUGCCUCAUAAAGCCUCAAAAACACAUGUUUAUGAGGUCAAAGAUUUAUCGGUAUGGGAUGGGCCUGCGUCUGAUUAGUUAGUUGGUGAGGUAACGGCUCACCAAGGCAGCGAUCAGUAGCCGACCUGAGAGGGUAAUCGGCCACAUUGGAACUGAGACACGGUCCAAACUCCUACGGGAGGCAGCAGUGGGGAAUCUUGCACAAUGGGCGAAAGCCUGAUGCAGCAACGCCGCGUGAGCGAAGAAGGCCUUUGGGUCGUAAAGCUCUGUCCUAGGGGAAGAAAAAAAUGACGUACCCGAGGAGGAGCCCCGGUA